rnacentral:rRNA from 1 species
UACGUAGGUGGCAAGCGUUAUCCGGAAUUAUUGGGCGUAAAGCGCGCGCAGGUGGUUUCUUAAGUCUGUUGUGAAAGCCCACGGCUCAACCGUGGAGGGUCAUUGGAAACUGGGAGACUUGAGUGCAGAAGAGGAAAGUGGAAUUCCAUGUGUAGCGGUGAAAUGCGUAGAGAUAUGGAGGAACACCAGUGGCGAAGGCGACUUUCUGGUCUGUAACUGACACUGAGGCGCGAAAGCGUGGGGAGCAAACAGG